rnacentral:rRNA from 2 species
UGGGGAAUAUUGCACAAUGGGCGCAAGCCUGAUGCAGCGAUGCCGCGUGAGGGAAGAAGGUUUUCGGAUUGUAAACCUCUGUUGACAGGGACGAUAAUGACGGUACCUGUUCAGAAAGCUCCGGCUAACUACGUGCCAGCAGCCGCGGUAAUACGUAGGGAGCGAGCGUUGUCCGGAAUUACUGGGUGUAAAGGGAGUGCAGGCGGGACUGCAAGUCAGAUGUGAAAUUUAGGGGCUCAACCCCUCAAACUGCAUUUGAAACUGUGGUUCUUGAGUGAAGUAGAGGUAAGCGGAAUUCCAAGUGUAGCGGUGAAAUGCGUAGAUAUUUGGAGGAACAUCAGUGGCGAAGGCGGCUUACUGGGCUUUAACUGACGCUGAGGCUCGAAAGCGUGGGGAGCAAACAGG